UGAGGAAUAUUGGUCAAUGGACGCAAGUCUGAACCAGCCAAGUAGCGUGCAGGAUGACGGCCCUAUGGGUUGUAAACUGCUUUUAUAUGGGAAUAAAGUGAGGGACGUGUCCCUUAUUGCAUGUACCAUACGAAUAAGGACCGGCUAAUUCCGUGCCAGCAGCCGCGGUAAUACGGAAGGUCCAGGCGUUAUCCGGAUUUAUUGGGUUUAAAGGGAGCGUAGGCUGUUUGUUAAGCGUGUUGUGAAAUGUAAGAGCUCAACUUUUAGAUUGCAGCGCGAACUGGCAGACUUGAGUGCGCACAACGUAGGCGGAAUUCAUGGUGUGGCGGUGAAAUGCUUAGAUAUCAUGACGAACUCCGAUUGCGAAGGCAGCUUACGGGAGCGCAACUGACGCUAAAGCUCGAAGGUGCGGGUAUCGAACAGG
rnacentral:rRNA from 1 species